rnacentral:piRNA from 1 species
UAGAACUCCUUGUUCCCGUUU